rnacentral:lncRNA from 1 species
UUGUCGUCAGGGAUGUGGAACGCGGACUGGAUGCCGACCUUACUUCGGAGUUCCUCCUGUGCUCUGGGUAUGUUGAUGAUGUUUUUGUUUUGUGGCAAAACGACCAUGGGGCUGAUGACCUCAUGGCGCACUUUGCUGGGAAGGCGUGUGGGCUCUCCCUCAGAUUGGAGCGGGCAAGCCGUACUGACAUUGACUUCCUCGAUAUUGGAAUCUUUGUCGCUGACGGCACCUUCGAGGCCGCUGUGUGCACCAGGCCGUCUUUUGCCCCGGUUAUCAUUCCCAGGUGGUCCUUUGGCCCAUGGUCUUUUGGG